rnacentral:lncRNA from 1 species
UUAUCCAUCAGCCUAUGGGAAAAGGGAAAAAGGAUGUGGAAGUCUUUUCCAGAUACGGCCUGGGAUUUACAUCUGGGGAGCAAGGAUAUAGCAGCCCAAGAAUAAUUAGAUGGGGCAAAAUAUUUACCCUGAUGAAUAAGGCACUGACAUGGCAAGCAAACCAAAAUAUCCCCAGUCACAGAUACAAUGACAAACUCUCUCUCCAAGUCCUGUGAAGUGAUCUUUAAAAGCCAAGGAAAGGAAGACAGGAAAAAUGAAGAUAAAUCCCAAAAGAUCA